CCCGCGGUAGCUCAGCCUGGUAGAGCUUUCGGCUGUAGACCGAAGAGUCGCAGGCUCAAACAAGCUAGUGACUAGCUAAUUUGGAGUAAAUCCUGCCCGCGGGA
rnacentral:tRNA from 1 species